ACGGGUGAGUAACGCGUGGGAAUCUACCGUACCCUACGGAAUAGCUCUGGGAAACUGGAAGUAAUACCGUAUACGCCCUUCGGGGGAAAGAUUUAUCGGGGUAUGAUGAGCCCGCGUUGGAUUAGCUAGUUGGUGGGGUAAAGGCCUACCAAGGCGACGAUCCAUAGCUGGUCUGAGAGGAUGAUCAGCCACAUUGGGACUGAGACACGGCCCAAACUCCUACGGGAGGCAGCAGUGGGGAAUAUUGGACAAUGGGCGCAAGCCUGAUCCAGCCAUGCCGCGUGAGUGAUGAAGGUCUUAGGAUUGUAAAGCUCUUUCACCGGAGAAGAUAAUGACGGUAUCUGGAGAAGAAGCCCCGGCUAACUUCGUGCCAGCAGCCGCGGUAAUACGAAGGGGGCUAGCGUUGUUCGGAAUUACUGGGCGUAAAGCGCACGUAGGCGGGUAUUUAAGUCAGGGGUGAAAUCCCAGAGCUCAACUCUGGAACUGCCUUUGAUACUGGGUAUCUUGAGUAUGGAAGAGGUAAGUGGAAUUGCGAGU
rnacentral:rRNA from 1 species